GACAGAGGGUGCAAACGUUGCUCGGAAUUACUGGGCGUAAAGCGCGUGUAGGCGGACCACCAAGUCGGACGUGAAAGCCCUGGGCUCAACCCGGGAACUGCAUCCGAAACUGGCGGUCUGGAGUAGUGGAGAGGAAAGCAGAAUUCCUGGUGUAGAGGUGAAAUUCGUAGAUAUCGUAAGGAAGACCAGUGGCGAAGGCGGGUCUCUGGACAGUUCCUGACGCUGAGGCACGAAGGCCAGGGGAGCAAACGGG
rnacentral:rRNA from 1 species